AUUGAACGCUGGCGGCAUGCUUUACACAUACAAGUCGGACGGCAGCACAGAGAAGCUUGCUUCUUGGGUGGCGAGUGGCGAACGGGUGAGUAACAUAUCGGAACGUACCGAGCAGUGGGGGAUAACUAAUCGAAAGAUUAGCUAAUACCGCAUAUAUUCUGAGGAAGAAAGCAGGGGACCAUUUGGCCUUGCGCUGUUUGAGCGGCCGAUAUCUGAUUAGCUAGUUGGUGGGGUAAAGGCCUACCAAGGCGACGAUCAGUAGCGGGUCUGAGAGGAUGAUCCGCCACACUGGGACUGAGACACGGCCCAGACUCCUACGGGAGGCAGCAGUGGGGAAUUUUGGACAAUGGGCGCAAGCCUGAUCCAGCCAUGCCGCGUGUCUGAAGAAGGGCUUCGGGUUGUAAAGGACUUUUGUCAGGGAAGAAAAGGAUAGGGUUAAUACCCCUGUCUGAUGAC
rnacentral:rRNA from 1 species